AAUAGAUUGAAAGGGAUAAUUAACAUUGAAGAGUUCAAUCAUCUAAUAAGUUUGGAGGAGUUGUAUUUAUCAGCUAAUGCAAUUGAAGGCUUCAUAUCUUCAAAUGGUAAAUUUAUCUUUUACUUCUUUCAUCAUUUUUUUCUUAAAUUAGCUAUAAACAAAUAAUAACUUGUACAGGUAGUGAGGAAUUAUCGAAAUUGAGCAAUUUGGAGCAUUUUGAUUUGAGUUAUAAUCACGUUAAUAUCAGCCUUUUAUCACCAUUCAUUAGGCUUCCAUCUCUCAGAUAUUUAGAUUUAGGAUAUAAUCAAUUGGAAGGACUAUUCAAUUUCAAAGAAUUGGGCAAAAGCAAGCUAGUGGCAUUGGACUUGAGCGGCAAUAUCGUUACAGAAUUUGUAGACUCA